GCCAUACUGGUGUAAAGGUAGCACAGCGGCCUCGUAAGUCUUUGCAGAUCUGGGUUCAAACCCCGGGUAUGGCA